rnacentral:rRNA from 1 species
GUGGGGAAUCUUGCGCAAUGGGCGGAAGCCUGACGCAGCAACGCCACGUGGGGGAUGACGGCCUUCGGGUUGUAAACCUCUUUCGGCUUUGACGAAGGCAUCUCUGUUGGGGGUGUUGACGGUAGGGGCAGAAGAAGCACCGGCUAACUACGUGCCAGCAGCCGCGGUAAUACGUAGGGUGCGAGCGUUGUCCGGAGUUACUGGGCGUAAAGAGCUCGUAGGCGGUGUGUCGCGUCGGCCGUGAAAUCCUGCUGCUUAACGGUGGGCUUGCGGUCGAUACGGGCAGACUAGAGUUCGGUAGGGGAGACUGGAAUUCCUGGUGUAGCGGUGAAAUGCGCAGAUAUCAGGAGGAACACCGGUGGCGAAGGCGGGUCUCUGGGCCGAUACUGACGCUGAGGAGCGAAAGCGUGGGGAGCGAACAGGAUUAGAAACCCCAGUAGUCC